CGCGUAGGUGGAAAUAUAAGUUGAAUGUGAAAUCCUCGGGCUUAACCUGAGACGGUCAUUCAAAACUGUAUAUCUAGAGUAUAGUAGAGGGAAGUGGAAUUUCCGGUGUAGCGGUGAAAUGCGUAGAUAUCGGAAGGAACACCAGUGGCGAAGGCGGCUUCCUGGACUAAUACUGACACUGAGGCGCGAAAGCGUGGGGAGCAAACAGGAUUAGAUACCCUGGUAGUCC
rnacentral:rRNA from 1 species